rnacentral:lncRNA from 1 species
UUUGAAGAGUAACGGGUUGUUCCUAAUCUCCGUACCAAACCCGUACCGUACAUGCAUACUGGUUACAUUAUACAAAUUCAAUUCAUUCCUCUUUUAUUUCAUAGAAACAAUCAAAUCUUGAGACCUCAUUUUCAGUACAGUCAUUCAAUCAGUUCCGGCAUUCAAUUAGUUCCGACACACUUUCUGAAAUUAAGCUUGGCACAGUGUCAGUAUGUUCAAAAACUCUAUUUUGCUAUUGGGUCAUAUAAAGUAACCAUUUCCUCGCCAAACGAACGCAUGUUUACAAAACUUGUAUGAAAUCUGGGUCAACAAGCACUUGCAGUUCAAAACGAGGUUAUGGAUGCUGCGUUUUCUUCGAUGGAGGUUCUGAGGAGCUUGAAAGUUAAUUUGAGAGCGAUUUGUUUUAUUCUAAAAACAUAAAUACCAACAGCGUGACAAACUUUGAGUAUGUGUUUUGUAUGGUCAACAACCUAACAGCAUGUCCAGACCUGGAAACAGACGAGGACAUUGUUUCAACGUGGAUAGCGUCUUUGAUUGCCCCAAAUCUUGAUAUUUUGAACUCUACUCAGCGUGUUUGUGAAUUUUUCGAGGAUUCUGUGUGUAGUUAUCGAGAAAUAAGAUUGAGCACGUGUUACAGUUCCAUAGUUGGUGAAGUAGUGACAGUAAAUGAAAACGUUGAUAUGUGCACG